rnacentral:tRNA from 1 species
GCGGCUGUGGCGGAAUUGGCAGACGCGUACGGUUGAGGGCCGUAUGGGUAACCGUGCUGGUUCAAAUCCAGUCAGCCGCA